rnacentral:rRNA from 1 species
AGCGUACACGGUGGAUGCCUAGGCAGUCAGAGGCGAUGAAGGGCGUGCUAAUCUGCGAAAAGCGUCGGUAAGGUGAUAUGAACCGUUAUAACCGGCGAUACCCGAAUGGGGAAACCCAGUGUGUUUCGACACACUAUCAUGUCAUGAAUACAUAGUGGCAUGAGGCGAACCGGGGGAACUGAAACAUCUAAGUACCCCGAGGAAAAGAAAUCAACCGAGAUUCCCCCAGUAGCGGCGAGCGAACGGGGAGGAGCCCAGAACCUGAAUCGGCUUGUGUGUUAGUGGAAGCGUCUGGAAAGUCGCGCAGCAAAGGGUGAUAGCCCCGUACACUAAAAUGCACAGGUCGUGAGUUCGAUGAGUAGGGCGGGACACGUGACAUCCUGUCUGAAUAUGGGGGGACCAUCCUCCAAGGCUAAAUACUCCUGACUGACCGAUAGUGAACCAGUACCGUGAGGGAAAGGCGAAAAGAACCCCGGCGAGGGGAGUGAAAUAGAACCUGAAACCGUGUACGUACAAGCAGUGGGAGCACCUUCGUGGUGUGACUGCGUACCUUUUGUAUAAUGGGUCAGCGACUUAUAUUUUGUAGCAAGGUUAACCGUAUAGGGGAGCCGUAGGGAAACCGAGUCUUAACUGGGCGAAUAGUUGCAAGGUAUAGACCCGAAACCCGGUGAUCUAGCCAUGGGCAGGUUGAAGGUUGGGUAACACUAACUGGAGGACCGAACCGACUAAUGUUGAAAAAUUAGCGGAUGACUUGUGGCUGGGGGUGAAAGGCCAAUCAAACCGGGAGAUAGCUGGUUCUCCCCGAAAGCUAUUUAGGUAGCGCCUCGUGAACUCAUCUUCGGGGGUAGAGCACUGUUUCGGCUAGGGGGCCAUCCCGGCUUACCAAACCGAUGCAAACUCCGAAUACCGAAGAAUGUUAUCACGGGAGACACACGGCGGGUGCUAACGUCCGUCGUGAAGAGGGAAACAACCCAGACCGCCAGCUAAGGUCCCAAAGUCAUGGUUAAGUGGGAAACGAUGUGGGAAGGCAUAGACAGCCAGGAUGUUGGCUUAGAAGCAGCCAUCAUUUAAAGAAAGCGUAAUAGCUCACUGGUCGAGUCGGCCUGCGCGGAAGAUGUAACGGGGCUAAACCAUGCACCGAAGCUGCGGCAGCGACGCUUAGGCGUUGUUGGGUAGGGGAGCGUUCUGUAAGCCGUUGAAGGUGGCCUGUGAGGGUUGCUGGAGGUAUCAGAAGUGCGAAUGCUGACAUAAGUAACGAUAAAGCGGGUGAAAAGCCCGCUCGCCGGAAGACCAAGGGUUCCUGUCCAACGUUAAUCGGGGCAGGGUGAGUCGACCCCUAAGGCGAGGCUGAAAAGCGUAGUCGAUGGGAAACAGGUUAAUAUUCCUGUACUUGGUGUUACUGCGAAGGGGGGACGGAGAAGGCUAGGCUAGCCGGGCGACGGUUGUCCCGGUUUAAGCGUGUAGGGGGUGUGACCUGGUAAAUCCGGUUGCAUGCUAACCCUGAGGCGUGAUGACGAUGCACUACGGUGCAGAAGUAGUUGAUGCCCUGCUUCCAGGAAAAUCCUCUAAGCUCCAGGUAACAUUAAAUCGUACCCCAAACCGACACAGGUGGUCAGGUAGAGAAUACCAAGGCGCUUGAGAGAACUCGGGUGAAGGAACUAGGCAAAAUGGUGCCGUAACUUCGGGAGAAGGCACGCUGGCAUGUAGGUGAAGUCCCUUGCGGAUGGAGCUGAAGCCAGUCGAAGAUACCAGCUGGCUGCAACUGUUUAAUAAAAACACAGCACUGUGCAAACACGAAAGUGGACGUAUACGGUGUGACGCCUGCCCGGUGCUGGAAGGUUAAUUGAUGGGGUCAGCCGCAAGGCGAAGCUCUUGAUCGAAGCCCCAGUAAACGGCGGCCGUAACUAUAACGGUCCUAAGGUAGCGAAAUUCCUUGUCGGGUAAGUUCCGACCUGCACGAAUGGCGUAAUGAUGGCCAGGCUGUCUCCACCCGAGACUCAGUGAAAUUGAACUCGCUGUGAAGAUGCAGUGUACCCGCGGCAAGACGGAAAGACCCCGUGAACCUUUACUAUAGCUUGACACUGAACAUUGAGCCUUGAUGUGUAGGAUAGGUGGGAGGCUUUGAAGCGUGGACGCCAGUCUGCGUGGAGCCAUCCUUGAAAUACCACCCUUUAAUGUUUGAUGUUCUAACUCGGCCCCGUGAUCCGGGGUGAGGACAGUGUCUGGUGGGUAGUUUGACUGGGGCGGUCUCCUCCCAAAGAGUAACGGAGGAGCACGAAGGUUAGCUAAUCACGGUCGGACAUCGUGAGGUUAGUGCAAAGGCAUAAGCUAGCUUGACUGCGAGAGUGACGGCUCGAGCAGGUACGAAAGUAGGUCUUAGUGAUCCGGUGGUUCUGAAUGGAAGGGCCAUCGCUCAACGGAUAAAAGGUACUCCGGGGAUAACAGGCUGAUACCGCCCAAGAGUUCAUAUCGACGGCGGUGUUUGGCACCUCGAUGUCGGCUCAUCACAUCCUGGGGCUGAAGUAGGUCCCAAGGGUAUGGCUGUUCGCCAUUUAAAGUGGUACGCGAGCUGGGUUUAGAACGUCGUGAGACAGUUCGGUCCCUAUCUGCCGUGGGCGUUGGAAGAUUGAGAGGGGUUGCUCCUAGUACGAGAGGACCGGAGUGAACGCACCACUGGUGUUCGGGUUGUCAUGCCAAUGGCAUUGCCCGGUAGCUAAGUGCGGAAAAGAUAAGCGCUGAAAGCAUCUAAGCGCGAAACUUGCCUCAAGAUGAGUCUUCCCUGGGCCUUCAAGGCCCCUGAAGGAACGUUUAAGACUAAGACGUUGAUAGGCUGGGUGUGUAAGUGCAGCGAUGCAUUGAGCUAACCAGUACUAAUGAUCCGUGAGGCUUAACC